rnacentral:lncRNA from 1 species
UGCAGGCACAGGCGGCGCUGCCUUAGCGAUGGAAAGCAGGCAUUUCACUGUUGAUGUUCCCCAGUCAUACGGCUGACGGUUACUAGGGGAUCCUGAAGGAUGUGUUUCCCUGUGACCCUUUGAGAAGAAAAACUUAGUUGCCGCAGUAACCAAGUUUGGCUUGGAUGCAAUGAUGCAGUAAAUAUCAUAGGGCCCAACUCUGGAAACACACAUGAGUCACUGGAGAUGCUUCCUGAAGUAGCUAGCCGGCAGGGAACAGUAAAGGAAGAAUCUUCUUUACAUCCAGGGCGGUGUUUUGAAGAGCUGCAGUUGAUGGUGCUUCCUCCUAAGCAUUCCCAGGAGCUGCGUCUAUGUCUGCUUUGGUCCUGUAACAGCCUCGCACAGGGUCAGACACCCGUUUUGUAAAGAAUGCCCCAGAAAGCACUGUGUGGGUGAUGCUAUAAUGCUGCAUAUUCCUACAAUGGAGCAGUGUGUCUGCGUAAUGGUAUCAGGAAUUUUGCUUUGGAGAGUUAAUGUGAAUGCCAAAUGAUAAAUAAAAUGCUGAAAUGAAAAAUAGGCCCUAAAGAA